GCGCGAAAACUUUACAAUGCUGGAAACAGCGAUAAGGGGACCUCGAGUGCCAGGUUACAAAUCUGGCUGUCGUGAUGCCUAAAAAGCAUUACAUAGCAAGGGCCGGGCAAGACCGGUGCCAGCCGCCGCGGUAACACCGGCGGCUCGAGUGGUAACCGUUAUUAUUGGGUCUAAAGGGUCUGUAGCCGGCCGGAUAAGUCUCUUGGGAAAUCCAGCAGCCUAACUGUUGGGCUUUCAGGAGAUACUAUUCGGCUCGAGGCCGGGAGAGGUGAGAGGUACUUCAGGGGUAGGGGUGAAAUCUUGUAAUCCUUGAAGGACCACCAGUGGCGAAGGCGUCUCACCAGAACGGACCUGACGGCAAGGGACGAAAGCUAGGGGCACGAACC
rnacentral:rRNA from 1 species